GGGAUCCCGCGCCCGCCUCACCUGGGUGCGGGGGUGCAGGGUGACCUUUCACGCCGGGCCAACGCCAGUACCCCCUUCUCAGCACACCUGGGUCCCCGAGCGGGCCAGGUGGUUCCGUGGGGGCGGCCGCCACCGGCACACCUGGGCUGGAUCCCCGCACACCUGGGUCCGCCCGUGUCGGGCUCGGGUACAAGUCCUGGCCGUGACACCUGGACCCCUCCACAGCCCUGCGGCUCCUCACUUCCCCCCUGCAGGGGUGGUUAGAGGAGCCACUCUAAUAAGAUCUAAUAAGAUCCCUGCAGGGCUGGUUAGAGGAGCCACUCUAACGCACCUGGAAGGUAACCGGCCAUUCACAGGAAUAGGACACCUGUCCCCUUCGUGCUAAAGGACGUUGGGGACAAGCAGGCCCCAUCCAAAACAUGGGGAAAGUGACCACUGUCAUCCCAGGGAAGAGAGACAAGGUCUCACUGUGUUGCCCAGGCUGGUCUCGAACUCCUGGCCUCAAGCAAUCCGACCACCUCAGCCUCCCAAAGUGCUGGGAUCACAGGGUUGAACCACCGCAUCCGGCCUUCAAAGUGGAUUCUUAAGGAACCAGUUUUAUAGAAUACUACACACAGGCGGCCCUGAGGUUUGGAACCAAGGCUGUAAAUGCAUCUGGGGACCUCCUUCCAUUAAGAAAUGCUUUGAAUGCUGGAGGAACGUUUAUUAUGUAGUGGGGUGACUGCCCUGAGCCCACAUGGGGUUCAGCCCCUGGUGUGAUGAGUGUGCAGGGAGAGACUGUGGAAGCCCAGCCAUGUGUUGCCAUGGAUUGUUUUGGGGUGAGGGGAUAUUGGUGACAGGCUGGCAGGGAGCUCGGCGCUCACCCUGUGCCAAUGUGUCCUCCCGGGUUUACUUGGUGCCUCCAAUAGGGAAGAGGUAGCUCUAACAAUGGAGAGGACCAGCUCUCACCUCAAAACCAGGGACCAACCUCAGAAUCCCGAGAGUCAUGAUGUGCCUUCAUUUUUUUUUGGAGACAGAGUCUCACUCUGUCGCCCAGGCUGAGUGCAGUGGUGCAAUCACAGCUCACUGCAGCCUCAACCUCCUGAGCUCAGGAGAUUCUCCCACCUCUGCCUCCCAAGUAGCUGGGAUUACAGGCACAUGCCAACACACCUAGCCACUUUUUAAAAAAUUUUUGUAGCAACAGGAUCUUACUGUAUUGCCCAGGCUGGUCUCAGAACUCCUAGGCUUAAGCGGUCCUCCUGCCUCGGGCUUCCAAAGUGCUGGGAUUACAGGUGUGAGUCACCACAUCUGGCCCAUAAUGUGCUUCUGAUGACCUAUAAGACCCUCUGGCCUGAAAGCACAACCUGAAUCUUAUCAGACCUAGUUUAGCUCUAACUUCAACUUCAUAGGCCACAACAAGCAACAGCGUAUGUAUACCACAGCCAGAGGAAGCAGCCAGGCUGACCCUGAAUGGAUGCCUUGCAAGUCCACAGCCCGCCAACCCAGUCUCUUCCACAGUCAGACAUGAAAACACAGGAUGGCCGGAUGCGGUGGCUCACAUCUGUAAUCUCAGCACUUUGGGAGGCUGAGG
rnacentral:lncRNA from 10 species